CAGCCGCCGCGGUAAUACAGAGGGUGCGAGCGUUAAUCGGAUUUACUGGGCGUAAAGCGUGCGUAGGCGGCUUCUUAAGUCGGAUGUGAAAUCCCUGAGCUUAACUUAGGAAUUGCAUUCGAUACUGGGAAGCUAGAGUAUGGGAGAGGAUGGUAGAAUUCCAGGUGUAGCGGUGAAAUGCGUAGAGAUCUGGAGGAAUACCGAUGGCGAAGGCAGCCAUCUGGCCUAAUACUGACGCUGAGGUACGAAAGCAUGGGGAGCAAACAGGAUUAGAUACCCCUGUAGUCCCUGUCUCUUAACA
rnacentral:rRNA from 1 species